GCUCUAUGACCUCAUUUCAAUUCCAAGAAGGCAUGCUUGUGAGCUGAUCACUCUUGCUAGCCAGCACAAUAUUUCUUCUGUGGAAAUGCAUGAGAUUGGGUCUCCAGGAUGGUGGUGACAUGCCUAAUUGGGGUCAGACUGAAGAUGAGUUCAGGCCUCUGGGCUACCAACCAUUCUCCACCAACCCUUAGGCUUGAGUUGUGUGUAUGGGUCCCUGUGUUGAUCCUCUCCCAUCAGUAUUCUGAUGUGGAGCUGCCUGUGGUCCAUAGCACCAGAGGACAACAGAGUGGCAGAGAUAUGAAAUUAGCCAGGAUUGCAUGUUUAACAAUAAAGAACAUGAAGAACAUGAUUUCUGAGCCUGAACAAGAAGACAUAGUACCUGGACACUGAAGAAUCAUCACAUGCUGUGAUAUGUACAAUAAACUGAUAUCUCUUCUCUACCCAU